rfam:Solemya pervernicosa gill symbiont isolate Sp-SM6 Selarraichensis_sym_scaffold47, whole genome shotgun sequence.
GCGAAAGUGGCGGAAUUGGUAGACGCGCUGGAUUUAGGUUCCUGUGCCGCAAGGCGUGAGAGUUCGAGUCUCUCCUUUCGCA